GACGAACGCUGGCGGCAUGCCUAACACAUGCAAGUCGAGCGAGCCUAAUUCUUCGGAGUGAAGCUAGCGGCGGACGGGUGAGUAACACGUGGGCAACCUGCCUCAUAGAGGAGAAUAGCCUUCCGAAAGGAAGAUUAAUACCGCAUAAGAUUGUAGCUUCGCAUGGAGCAGCAAUUAAAGGAGCAAUCCGCUAUGAGAUGGGCCCGCGGCGCAUUAGCUAGUUGGUGAGGUAACGGCUCACCAAGGCGACGAUGCGUAGCCGACCUGAGAGGGUGAUCGGCCACAUUGGGACUGAGACACGGCCCAGACUCCUACGGGAGGCAGCAGUGGGGAAUAUUGCACAAUGGGGGAAACCCUGAUGCAGCAAUGCCGCGUGAGUGAUGACGGCCUUCGGGUUGUAAAGCUCUGUCUUCGGGGACGAUAAUGACGGUACCCGAGGAGGAAGCCACGGCUAACUACGUGCCAGCAGCCGCAGUAA
rnacentral:rRNA from 1 species